CCUACCUCUGACUGGAGGAUAGCCCGAAGGAAAUUCGGAUUAAUACUCCAUAAUACUAUGGACAGGCAUCUGUUCAUGGUUAAAGCUCCGGCGGUCAGAGAUGGGCAUGCGUGACAUUAGCUUGUUGGUGAGGUAACAGCUCACCAAGGCUACGAUGUCUAGGGGGUCUGAGAGGAUGGUCCCCCACACUGGUACUGAGACACGGACCAGACUCCUACGGGAGGCAGCAGUGAGGAAUAUUGGUCAAUGGGCGAAAGCCUGAACCAGCCAUGCCGCGUGAAGGAUGACAGCCCUAUGGGUUGUAAACUUCUUUUGUACGGGAAGAAACGCCUCUACGUGUAGAGGUUUGACGGUACCGUACGAAUAAGCAUCGGCUAACUCCGUGCCAGCAGCCGCGGUAAUACGGAGGAUGCAAGCGUUAUCCGGAUUUAUUGGGUUUAAAGGGUGCGUAGGCGGGAGCUUAAGUCAGUGGUGAAAUCCUGCAGCUUAACUGUAGAACUGUCAUUGAUACUGGGCUUCUUGAAUGUAGUUGAGGUAGGCGGAAUGUGUAAUGUAGCGGUGAAAUGCUUAGAUAUUACACAGAACACCGAUUGCGAAGGCAGCUUACUAAACUACGAUUGACGCUGAGGUACGAAAGCGUGGGGAGCGAACAGGAUUAGAUACCCUGGUAGUCCACGCUGUAAACGAUGAUCACUCGUUGUUGGCAAUACACCGUCAGCGACUGAGCGAAAGCAUUAAGUGAUCCCACCUGGGGAGUACGACCGCAAGGUUGAAACUCAAAGGAAUUGACGGGGGCCCGCACAAGCGGAGGAACAUGUGGUUUAAUUCGAUGAUACGCGAGGAACCUUACCUGGGCUUAAAUGUAGAACGACGGACCGGGAAACUGGUCUUUCUUCGGACGGUCUGCAAGGUGCUGCAUGGCUGUCGUCAGCUCGUGCCGUGAGGUGUCAGGUUAAGUCCCAUAACGAGCGGCAACCUUCAUCAGUAGUUGCCAGCGGGUAAUGCCGGGGAUUC
rnacentral:rRNA from 1 species